UCGAGCCGGUAAGCCGCAUGGAGUCGACAUCUCGGCUUUUAUGAAAUAGAGGUACAUAGCUUUGCCUUCGCUCAACCCAGCUACAUGCCUGGCAUGAUGAGAUUGUAAAGGAAUGUACGACGGUCAAGAUCCUCUGCAAUGGACGGCAUCAACUUGGGCUCCCCAGCUGAAGUUCCGGAGCUGCAAUUCACGAAAUACUUCUUUUAACGAAACGAACGACCAUUUUAUAUAUAAAUAAAAAACGAGGCUCGAUAGUUACCUGCAUAGCAUCUCAGUGAUGGGGCGGGAAGUAAUGAGACUCGAGUCUUCUCCAUUAGCAAUUCUGAUAAUGUAAGGACGAAUAUCCUUAUACGUAAUAACAGGUAUAAAUAGGACAGAAUAGCUAACGGAAGCUACUUCAUAAACCACAAGGGGUUAUGUACUUAUAUUACGAGCACACGGAGGUCACCUGCAAAAGCUUAUAACCACAUGAAGGUGGAGUACUAUUUACCCUUGUUAUUUCAUUUAUCAUAUUUCGCAUUAACUUUAGAAUAUAUUAUGAUAAUUAAGCCUGAUCAUCUGAUACAAUAAACAGUAAAUAUUAUUAUGUAUAAAUUAGGAGUCAUAUAUUAAAAGUGCAUCACAUGAGUGAGUAUAUGGUGUGGGAAAACAUGGAUAUAUGGGUUCUUACUGUUUUCCCACUUUUUAUGAUUUAAGUGCAGACAGCAUCUGAUGCAUGCACUCUCUUUCGAAGGUAAAAA